rnacentral:sRNA from 1 species
GAAUCCUGCGGAAAAUUGCCAUAGACGUAGGAACAUGAAAUUGAAAGAAAACUGUGCAUUGAU